rnacentral:rRNA from 1 species
UACGUAGGGUGCAAGCGUUGUCCGGAAUUAUUGGGCGUAAAGAGCUCGUAGGCGGUUUGUCGCGUCUGCUGUGAAAAACGCGAGGCUCAACCUCGCGCCUGCAGUGGGUACGGGCAGACUAGAGUGCGGUAGGGGAGAUUGGAAUUCCUGGUGUAGCGGUGGAAUGCGCAGAUAUCGGGAGGAACACCGGUGGCGAAGGCGGCGAUCUGGGUCGAUACUGACGCUGAGGUGCGAAAGCGUGGGGAGCAAACAGGG